UGGGGAAUAUUGGGCAAUGGGCGAAAGCCUGACCCAGCAACGCCGCGUGAGGGAAGAAGGGUUUCGGCUCGUAAACCUCUGUCCUAUGGGACGAAGGAAGUGACGGUACCAUAGGAGGAAGCCCCGGCUAACUACGUGCCAGCAGCCGCGGUAAUACGUAGGGGGCGAGCGUUGUCCGGAAUGAUUGGGCGUAAAGGGGCGCGUAGGCGGCCUGUUAAGUCCGGAGUGAAAGUCCUGCUUUCAAGGUGGGAAUUGCUUUGGAUACUGAUGGGCUGGAGUGCAGGAGAGGAAAGCGGAAUUACCGGUGUAGCGGUGAAAUGCGUAGAGAUCGGUAGGAACACCAGUGGCGAAGGCGGCUUUCUGGACUGAAACUGACGCUGAGGCGCGAAAGCGUGGGGAGCAAACAGGAUUAGAUACCC
rnacentral:rRNA from 1 species